rnacentral:tRNA from 1 species
GCCUGGGUGGCUCAGUUGGUUAAGCACCUGACUUCGGCUUGGGUCAUGAUCUCACGGUUUGUGAGUUUGAGCCUCACAUCGGGCU